ACAAAUCUAGGUAAGUGCUCUGAAAAAAAAUACAACAUUCUCUAAAAGUGUACAGUAAAGAAACCUGAGCUACACUGGAGUUGGCAGUGGUCAGCAGAAUAAAAUUUCCCUACAGAGAUGACUUAGGCUGAGAGCUGAACUGAGCUGUCUCAGUGGUAUGUAGUGGGUGUACUUGAGGUAUGUACGGAGCAGAGGAUGUUUUAAAGGGAUUACACGUGCAAAGGUCUAAAGAGGAAGAGGUGCUUUCCUGAUCAAGAAAUGGGAAGAAGGCCAGUGUGGCUGGAGCACAGGAGUUGAAGGGACAGGUGACAGAAAGUACUAGACAAGGAGUCAUCGUUUGUGUAAUAGCGCUGCUCUUUAGCCUAAAAGCAGUGGAGUAAUGUGUAUGUGUGUGUGAGUGUGUGUGCGUGUGUGUGUGUGUGUCUGUGUGUGUGUGUCUGUGUGUGUGUGUUUACCCAUUCUGGUAGCAGUGUAGACAGAUGUUUGGCAGGGUGUACAAAGCAGAUGUAGAUAAACAGCUUGGAAGUUUUGCAGUGUUGUGAAUGAGAUUUUAUGGCAGCUCAGAUUAGAGUAGGGAAGUAGAAAUAGUGAAAAGAAAACGGAUUCUAGAGAUACUCUUGAGGUUUCUAAUGGAUUUGAUGUGGGGAAGAAGUAUCACAGGAGAUUUCUUAGGUUUCUGGUCUAUGUAACUCGAUGAAUGGUUAUGCCUGUAACUAAAAUUGGAAACAGUGCAAAAGGCCAUACACUGAAAGGAAUAUCAUGAGUUUGUUCUUACAUAUCUGUGUUUGGGACAUCAAAGUGGAGAAUUUAGGGAGGCAAUUGGAAAAAUACAUCCAAAACUCACCAAGAUAUUAUGAAUUGAAGAUGUAAAAUAGAAUCCUCAAUGCCUAGAUUAUUACUAGGAAAAUAUUCUGAGUCAAGAGUUCUGAAUGAGUAGAGAAUUCUCUGUGAUGAGUCCUUCGGGAACCCCAAGCAAAAGAAGAUGUGCAGAAUAAAUCUGAAAAGAAGUAAGAAAAAGGAUGUGAAAGUCCAGGAGAUCAUGGUGUCACAGACUCAGUGGGAAGAGGGAAGAAUUUCAAGAAUGAAGUAGUCACGGCUGCCGAUCACCCCCAAGGAGGUCAGGCAAGGAAGUGGUUAUUAUUAUCCUCGUACUUCACUUGAAGAAAAUGGACCCAGAAGAGAGGAAUGAACUGCCCAAGUUUGGCUAGAUUAAAUCACGGUGGAGCUGGGCUCGAAUUUGUCAAGGUCUUUAGGUCAUGGGAGAGAGCGCUUGAAGGGGAUUAAGGGGUCCUAAUGCCCUUCUCAUUCACUUUUGCUUCCUGGCUGUGAAAUCAGUGGGUUGCUUUGCCACAGACUCUCCACCACUGCCAUUGGGCGCCUUCAUCAGAAGACCAAAGCAAUGAGUCUGUUGGAGAUAAAGCUCCAAAACUGUGAGCAAAAAUGAACCUUUUAUUGAUAAGCUGAUUACCUCAAGUAAUGAUUUCAGUUGUGGAAAGCUGAGGAUGGACAUACCAGAAAGUCCCUAUGGGCAAACUAUUGGCUACUGUUUGUGCUUGAAUUACCUUGAGCUCUUGGUACUGUAAUUACUGUAAGAAUAUCAGGAAAACACACCUUUUUCUCCAAAGAAAAUCGCUAUUAAAGGGCAGAAGAUGGUAGAUAGCCUCCCAGAGGUAGUAAAGCAUACAUUCUGUCCGAUGGACAGCUCGUGGUCAACUUGCAAUACCCAGCUGAACUUAAUAAGAGUGGUGCUGGGUGUGGGAGGCCCACCUGAGGAUUGUUGCUAGCAGCAUAAGAGGC